rnacentral:rRNA from 1 species
AUUGAACGCUGGCGGCAGGCUUAACACAUGCAAGUCGAGCGAGCGGCGGACGGGUGAGUAAUGUCUGGGAAACUGCCUGAUGGAGGGGGAUAACUACUGGAAACGGUAGCUAAUACCGCAUACCAUCAGAUGUGCCCAGAUGGGAUUAGCUAGUAGGUGGGGUAAUGGCUAACCUAGGCGACGAUCCCUAGCUGGUGUGAGAGGAGGACCAGCCAGACUGGGACGGAGACACGGCCCAGACUCCUACGGGAGGCAGCAGUGGGGAAUAUUAGACAAUGGGCGAAAGCCUGAUACAGCCAUGCCGCGUGUGUGAAGAAGGCCUUCGGGUUGUAAAGCACUUUCAGCGAGGAGGCGUUACUCGCAGAAGAAGCACCGGCUAACUCCGUGCCAGCAGCCGCGGUAAUAC